AGAGUUUGAUCAUGGCUCAGAACGAACGCUGGCGGCGUGCCUCAUACAUGCAAGUCGUACGGUGUUUUCGGCCGCAAGGUUGAAAGCGCCGUGGCAGACGGGUGCGUAACACGUGGGUAAUCUUCCUUUAUGUUUGGCAUAAACCCUCGAAAGGGGGUCUAAUUCCGAAUAACGUUUUUGGCCGGCAUCGGCCGAAAACCAAAGAUGGCCUCUACUUGUAAGCUAUCACAUAGAGAUGAGCCCGCGCCCGAUUAGUUAGUUGGCGGGAUAAAAGCCCACCAAGACGUCGAUCGGUAGCCGGCCUGAGAGGGUGUCCGGCCACACUGGGACUGAGAUACGGCCCAGACUCCUACGGGAGGCAGCAGUAGGGAAUAUUGCGCAAUGGCCGCAAGGCUGACGCAGCAACGCCGCGUGGGGGAUGAAGGUUUUCGGAUCGUAAACCCCUGUCGAGAGGGACGAAAGGUCAAUGGGCAAAUAGCCCUUUGGCUUGACGGUACCUUUAGAGGAAGUUCCGGCCAACUUCGUGCCAGCAGCCGCGGUAAUACGGGGGGAACAAGCGUUGUUCGGAAUUACUGGGUUUAAAGCGCGCGCAGGCGGAAUGGCAAGUCCGGAUGUGAAAGCCCCCGGCUCAACCGGGGAAGUGCACUGGAAACUGCCGUUCUAGAGUGCGGAAGAGGAAAGUGGAAUUCACGGUGUAGCGGUGAAAUGCGUAGAUAUCGUGAGGAACACCGGUGGCGAAGGCGGCUUUCUGGUCCGCAACUGACGCUCAGGCGCGAAGGCUAGGGGAGCAAACAGGAUUAGAUACCCUGGUAGUCCUAGCGGUAAACGUUGUGCACUAGGUGUGGGGCCCCGACGAGGGGCUCCGUGCCGCAGCGAAAGCAUUAAGUGCACCACCUGGGGAGUACGGCCGCAAGGCUGAAACUCAAAGGAAUUGACGGGGGCCCGCACAAGCGGUGGAGUAUGUGGUUUAAUUCGACGCAACGCGAAGGACCUUACCUGGGCUUGACAUGCUUAGGACCGGAGUGGAAACAUUCCUUCCCCGCAAGGGGCCUUUGCACAGGUGCUGCAUGGCUGUCGUCAGCUCGUGCCGUGAGGUGUUGGGUUAAGUCCCGCAACGAGCGCAACCCCUUUUCUUAGUUGCCACCGGGUUAUGCCGGGCACUCUAAGAAGACUGCCCCGGGUAACGGGGAGGAAGGCGGGGAUGACGUCAAGUCCUCAUGGCCCUUACGUCCAGGGCUACACACGUACUACAAUGCCCGGCACAACGGGAGGCAAGACCGCAAGGUGGAGCCAAUCCUACAAAGCCGGGCUCAGUUCAGAUCGCCGUCUGCAAUUCGACGGCGUGAAGUUGGAAUCGCUAGUAAUCGCGGAUCAGCAGGUCGCGGUGAAUACGUUCCCGGGCCUUGUACACACCGCCCGUCAAGCCAUGGAAGCUGGAGGUACCCGAAGUUGCCGCGAGGCACCUAAGGUAAAACCAGUGACUGGGGCUAAGUCGUAACAAGGUAACCGUA
rnacentral:rRNA from 1 species